AGCUUACAAACAUUGCCUGGGAUACAAUAAUUCAAUCUUUGUUUCCGACAUUGCAUGAAAGAGCUAUCAUCUAAAAACGGAAAGUGAACAUAAAAACAUGGGGUUGUUUCCAAAGUAGUUGCUAUUAAUUAGUUGGAUUACAACAAGUAACUACACCUGCUUACAAAAAAACACAAAACAACAAACAAAAGAAGGAAAAAAACAA